CCCUGUGUCGAAAGUGACUGUGGUGUCUGGUUGCCAGGUCAUUGAUAAUGCAGGGAGAGAAAAUUGAAAGUCUUUCCCGUGUUUGCAGGAUUGCUUGUUCCUGUUUAACCCUGAAUCUUUCACACA